rnacentral:rRNA from 1 species
GACGAACCGAGCGAACGUUGUUCGGAAUCACUGGGCUUAAAGGGCGCGUAGGCGGGCGGUCAAGUCAGGGGUGAAAGCCCCCAGCUCAACUGGGGAAGUGCCUCUGAUACUGGCCGUCUCGAGGGGGAUAGGGGCGUGCGGAACUUCCGGUGGAGCGGUGAAAUGCGUAGAUAUCGGAAGGAACAUCGGUGGCGAAAGCGGCGCGCUGGGUCCCUUCUGACGCUGAGGCGCGAAAGCCAGGGGAGCGAACGGG